UACGGAGGGGGCUAGCGUUGUUCGGAAUUACUGGGCGUAAAGAGCGUGUAGGCGGCCAAGCAGGUCCGUUGUGAAAACUGGAGGCUUAACCUCCAGACGUCGACGGAAACCGCGUGGCUAGAGUCCGGAAGAGGAGAGUGGAAUUCCUGGUGUAGCGGUGAAAUGCGCAGAUAUCAGGAGGAACACCGAUUGCGAAGGCAGCUCGCUGGGACGUAACUGACGCUGAGACGCGAAAGCGUGGGGAGCGAACAGG
rnacentral:rRNA from 1 species